rnacentral:rRNA from 1 species
GAUGAACGCUGGCGGCGUGCCUAAUACAUGCAAGUCGAGCGAACGGACGAGAAGCUUGCUUCUCUGAUGUUAGCGGCGGACGGGUGAGUAACACGUGGAUAACCUACCUAUAAGACUGGGAUAACUUCGGGAAACCGGAGCUAAUACCGGAUAAUAUUUUGAACCGCAUGGUUCAAAAGUGAAAGACGGUCUUGCUGUCACUUAUAGAUGGAUCCGCGCUGCAUUAGCUAGUUGGUAAGGUAACGGCUUACCAAGGCAACGAUGCAUAGCCGACCUGAGAGGGUGAUCGGCCACACUGGAACUGAGACACGGUCCAGACUCCUACGGGAGGCAGCAGUAGGGAAUCUUCCGCAAUGGGCGAAAGCCUGACGGAGCAACGCCGCGUGAGUGAUGAAGGUCUUCGGAUCGUAAAACUCUGUUAUUAGGGAAGAACAUAUGUGUAAGUAACUGUGCACAUCUUGACGGUACCUAAUCAGAAAGCCACGGCUAACUACGUGCCAGCAGCCGCGGUAAUACGUAGGUGGCAAGCGUUAUCCGGAAUUAUUGGGCGUAAAGCGCGCGUAGGCGGUUUUUUAAGUCUGACGUGAAAGCCCACGGCUCAACCGUGGAGGGUCAUUGGAAACUGGAAAACUUGAGUGCAGAAGAGGAAAGUGGAAUUCCAUGUGUAGCGGUGAAAUGCGCAGAGAUAUGGAGGAACACCAGUGGCGAAGGCGACUUUCUGGUCUGUAACUGACGCUGAUGUGCGAAAGCGUGGGGAUCAAACAGGAUUAGAUACCCUGGUAGUCCACGCCGCAAACGAUGAGUGCUAAGUGUUAGGGGGUUUCCGCCCCUUAGUGCUGCAGCUAACGCAUUAAGCACUCCGCCUGGGGAGUACGACCGCAAGGUUGAAACUCAAAGGAAUUGACGGGGACCCGCACAAGCGGUGGAGCAUGUGGUUUAAUUCGAAGCAACGCGAAGAACCUUACCAAAUCUUGACAUCCUUUGACAACUCUAGAGAUAGAGCCUUCUCCUUCGGGGGACAAAGUGACAGGUGGUGCAUGGUUGUCGUCAGCUCGUGUCGUGAGAUGUUGGGUUAAGUCCCGCAACGAGCGCAACCCUUAAGCUUAGUUGCCAUCAUUAAGUUGGGCACUCUAAGUUGACUGCCGGUGACAAACCGGAGGAAGGUGGGGAUGACGUCAAAUCAUCAUGCCCCUUAUGAUUUGGGCUACACACGUGCUACAAUGGACAAUACAAAGGGCAGCGAAACCGCGAGGUCAAGCAAAUCCCAUAAAGUUGUUCUCAGUUCGGAUUGUAGUCUGCAACUCGACUACAUGAAGCUGGAAUCGCUAGUAAUCGUAGAUCAGCAUGCUACGGUGAAUACGUUCCCGGGUCU